GUUGAUUUAAUACUUUAAGACACAUCUUACAAUCUCCAAAUCUCUUUUUCGGUUUUAAUAAAUGGCCAGUGAGUUUGGUUGUCACGUUUCCCCCAGACAUUCAUUGGCAGGGUGUUAGAAGGCACUUGGCCUAUGCUAGUGCUUUUAAAUUAAGAUUUUAAGAAAUAAGGACAGCAGCAUUUAAGUUGUAAUCCCUUAUCUCACCACAAGGUGACGAUCAAGACAACUUUAUGGAUUAC